CACGUAGGGCGCAAGCGUUGUCCGGAAUUAUUGGGCGUAAAGAGCUCGUAGGCGGUUUGUUGCGUCGGCUGUGAAAUCCCGAGGCUCAACCUCGGGUCUGCAGUCGAUACGAGCAAACUAGAGUGUUGCAGGGGAGACUGGAAUUCCUGGUGUAGCGGUGAAAUGCGCAGAUAUCAGGAGGAACACCGGUGGCGAAGGCGGGUCUCUGGGCAACAACUGACGC
rnacentral:rRNA from 1 species